rnacentral:misc_RNA from 1 species
GAAGAACGUACCACACAAACCAGGCCGUGCCUCUCCCCCAUACCAGCAACCAUGCAUGCAUGGACGCGGGCGAACUUGAAUUGACCCAAGAAACCAAAGAAAACAAGAGAGGCAACUGGACACGCAAACGCAAGAGCAGAGAUACGAUCACCAGUAACAACACAGUUCUAACCAUCCUACCGCCCAGUGUACUCACUGCUACCUGCAGGAAGAGCAUGCAUCACAUCCAGACUUGUUCAUCAAAGCCAUCGCCUGCGUAAUGGUCGAAAAGAUCGACGCCGCUUAUGUCGGCGGCGUCGUCAUCGCCGCAGCCCGAAAGGAUGCCCGCCCAGUCCAUGUCCAUGAUGCCGUCCACUUCGAGGAAGAGGUCGAUGGGGCCGGGCCAGGCGGCCGCGUCCGCGUCCGCGUCCGCGCCGGAGGCCGAGGAGGAGCAGGACGGCGAGACGGAUCCAGCCGCUGCGGAAGCAGGGGAGGUGGUCGUCGCGCCGUGCGGCUGGGCGGCGCUCGCCGGCGUCUCCUCCACGUCGUCGUCCUCGUCGGCGACCGCCGCCAGCCCUUGCGACGAUGCCUGCUUGCUGGGGUCGUCGUCGCAACGUUCCUCUUCUCGCACCACCUGCGGAGGAUCGCGCUGCUGCGCCAGCGCCAGCGCCAGAGGUUGAGUGGCCGGAGCGAGCGGCCCGUGGGUGACGGGGUCGAUGCCCAUCUUCUUGAGCUUCUUCUUGAUGUGGGUGUUCCAGUGGUUCUUGAUCUCGUUGUCCGUCCUCCCCGGCAGCCGCGCCGCGAUCUUGGACCACCGGUUGCCGAGCUGCGCGUGGAGGUCGAUGACCAGCGCCUCUUCCUCCUCCGAGAGGAGGCCGCGCUUGAGGUCCGGCCUCAGGUAGUUGGUCCACCGCAGCCGGCAGCUCUUCCCGCACCUCAGCAGCCCUGCGGGGACCAAGAAACUAAUGUGAGGAAA